rfam:Pan troglodytes isolate Yerkes chimp pedigree #C0471 (Clint) chromosome 7, whole genome shotgun sequence.
GCUGGGCGUGGUGGCUCAUGCCUGUAAUCCCAGCACUUUGGGAGGCUGAGGUGGGAGGAUCACCUGAGGUCAGGAGUUUGAGACCAGCCUGGCCAACACGGUGAAACCCUGUCUCUU